GACGAACGCUGGCGGCGUGCUUAACACAUGCAAGUCGAACGGAAAGGCCCUGCUUUUGUGGGGUGCUCGAGUGGCGAACGGGUGAGUAACACGUGAGUAACCUGUCCUUGACUUUGGGAUAACUUCAGGAAACUGGGGCUAAUACCGGAUAGGAGCUCCUGCUGCAUGGUGGGGGUUGGAAAGUUUCGGCGGUUGGGGAUGGACUCGCGGCUUAUCAGCUUGUUGGUGGGGUAGUGGCUUACCAAGGCUUUGACGGGUAGCCGGCCUGGGCGGGGGACCGGCCACAUUAGGCCUGAGAUACGGCCCAGACUCCUACGGGUGGCAACGGUGGAGAGUAUUACACAGUAGGCGGGAGCCUGAUGCGACAACGCCGCGUGCGGGAAGACGGGCUUCGGGUUGUGAACCGCUUUCGCCUGUGACGAGGCGUGAGUGACGGUAAUGGGUAAAGAAGCACCGGCUAACUACGUG
rnacentral:rRNA from 1 species